AGGGGGUCGGGUGAUCGCUCGCUUAAAGCGGGAGGAAAGUCCGGGCUCCACAGGGCAAGGUGGUCGCUAACAGCGACCGGGGGCGACCCCAGGGAAAGUGCCACAGAGAACAUACCGCCCCGCGUUUCGCGGGGUAAGGGUGAAAAGGCGAGGUAAGAGCUCACCGCACCCCUGGUGACAGGGGUGGCAGGGCAAACCCCACCUGGAGCAAGACCAAAUAGGGGAGCGUUUGAGGGUGGCCCGCUCGAUGCUCCCGGGUAGGUCGCUAGAUCCCGACAGCAAUGCCGGGGCCAGAGGAAUGAUCACCCUUCCCAGAUCGCUUCUGGGGAGACAGAACUCGGCUUACAGACCCGCUU
rnacentral:RNase_P_RNA from 1 species